rnacentral:rRNA from 1 species
GGUAGGCGAGGCGAGUAGCCUCAGGCGCUCGGGAGAAUUCUGGUUAAGGAACUCUGCAAAUUGACCCCGUAAGUUCGCGAGAAGGGGUGCCUGCUUCGGCAGGCCACAGAUAAUCGGCUCUAGCGACUGUUUACUAAAAACACAGGACUCUGCAAACUCGUAAGAGGACGUAUAGAGUCUGACGCUUGCUCGGUGCCGGUAGGUUAAGGGAGAGGGUCAGGUUCUUCGGAACCGAAGCCCGCAACCGAAGCCCCGGUAAACGGCGGCCGUAACUAUGACGGUCCUAAGGUAGCGAAAUUCCUUGUCGGGUAAGUUCCGACCUGCAUGAAUAGCGUAACGACUGGAGCACUGUCUCAACCAGAAACCCGGUGAAAUUGCAGUUGUGGUGAGGAUACCACGUACCCGCAGCUAGACGGAAGACCCCAUGAACCUUUACUGCAGGCUGAUAUUGGCUUUAGACAGUUCUUGUGUAGGAUAGGUGGGAGGCGACGAUGUGGGCACGCCAGUGUCCAUUUAGCCGACGUUGAAAUACC